rnacentral:rRNA from 1 species
UGGGGAAUAUUGGACAAUGGGCGAAAGCCUGAUCCAGCAAUGCCGCGUGAGUGAUGAAGGCCUUAGGGUUGUAAAGCUCUUUUACCCGGGAAGAUAAUGACUGUACCGGGAGAAUAAGCCCCGGCUAACUCCGUGCCAGCAGCCGCGGUAAUACGGAGGGGGCUAGCGUUGUUCGGAAUUACUGGGCGUAAAGCGUACGUAGGCGGCUUUGUAAGUUAGAGGUGAAAGCCCGGGGCUCAACCCCGGAAUUGCCUUUAAGACUGCAUCGCUUGAAUCGCGGAGAGGUGAGUGGAAUUCCGAGUGUAGAGGUGAAAUUCGUAGAUAUUCGGAAGAACACCAGUGGCGAAGGCGGCUCACUGGACGCGUAUUGACGCUGAGGUACGAAAGCGUGGGGAGCAAACAGGAUUAGAUACCCCCGUAGUCCCUGAGCGGGCUGGCAAGGC